AUACGUAGGUGACAAGCGUUAUCCGGAUUUACUGGGCGUAAAGGGCGUGUAGGCGGUCUUGCAAGUCAGAAGUGAAAUUCCUGAGCUCAACUCGGGCGCUGCUUCUGAAACUGCAGGACUUGAGUGCUGGAGGGGAUAGCGGAAUUCCUAGUGGAGCGGUAAAAUGCGCAGAUAUUAGGAAGAACACCGGUGGCGAAGGCGGCUAUCUGGACAGUAACUGACGCUGAGGCGCGAAAGCGUGGGGAGCAAACAGGAUUAGAUACCCUGGUAGUCCACACUGUAAACGAUGAAUGCUAGGUGUAAGAGGUAUCGACCCCUUUUGUGCCGGAGUCAACACAAUAAGCAUUCCGCCUGGGGAGUACGGCCGCAAGGUUGAAACUCAAAUGAAUUGGCGGGG
rnacentral:rRNA from 1 species